rnacentral:lncRNA from 1 species
AUGGACGCUCCGCAGCGCCCGCCGCGCCCCGCGCCGCCACCGCCCGCCCCGCGCCGCUCCAACACAGGAGACGUCCUGCAGCAGAUCAUGGCCAUUACCGACCAGAGCCUGGACGAGGCGCAGGCCAGAAAGCACGCUCUGAAUUGCCAUCGGAUGAAGCCUGCGCUCUACAGUGUGCUCUGCGAGAUCAAGGAAAAGACAGUGUCGAGCAUCCACGGCAUUCAGGAAGUGGGCCCCCCUGAUGCUCAGCUCCUGAGGCUGGAUAACAUGCUGCUGGCCGAGGGCAUGUCCAGGCCUGAGAAGCAAGGGAGGGGAGCAUCGGCAGCGGCCAACGCAGCAACGCCAGGAGGCCAUCCAAACGAGGGUGGCCUUGAGCACUCUGACUACAGGGCCAAGCUGUCCCAGAUCCGACAGCUGUACCACUCCGAGCUAGAGAAAUAUGAACAGGCCUGCCGUGAGUUCACCAUGCACGUCACCAACCUCCUCCAGGAGCAGAGCAGGAUCAGGCCCGUCUCGCCCGCGGAGAUAGAGCACAUGGUGGGGAUCAUCCACGGCAAGUUCCACAGCAUCCAGAUGCAGCUGAAGCAGAGCACCUGUGAGGCUGUGCUGGCCCUGCGCGCGAGGUUCCUCGACGCCAGGCGUAAGCGGCAGAAUUUCAGCAAGCAAGCCACAGAGGUGCUGAAUGAAUACUUUUAUUCCCAUCUGAGCAACCCAUACCCCAGUGAAGAAACCAAAGAGGAGCUGGCCAGGAGGGGUGGCAUCACGGUCUCCCAGGUCUCCAACUGGUUCGGCAACAAAAGAAUUCGGUAUAAAAAGAACAUGAGGAAGUUUCAAGAAGAGGCUACCAUCUACACAGCCAAGACAGCAGUGGACGCCACAGAAGUCAGGGGCCCAGGGCGCCAGGCCAGCCCCCCAUCAAUGUCCCACUCCAGCUCCUCUGGCCCGUUUCCGCUGACCGGCCCCGGGGACGCACUUAUCCGCCUGCAGACGCUGGCCUGCCUCCAGCCCACCCCCCGGGAAGGCGGCCUUCUGGCCCAGCCCAGGAGCGGCUGGCAGGUGAAGCGAAUGCCAGCCGCUUCACCCGCUGGCAACCCCGGCAAUGUCCCCUCAGACGCAUCUAAUCAAGUGUUGGGGCGAGCAGAAAAGAGGACGGUGUGA